GACGAACGCUGGCGGCGCGCUUAACACAUGCAAGUCGAGCGAAGCGGCGGACGGGUGAGUAACACGUGAGUAACCUGCCUUAGACAUUGGGAUAGCCUCGGGAAACCGGGAUUAAUACCAAAUGGUCUAAGAUGGGCUCGCGUCCCAUUAGCUAGUUGGUGGGUAACGGCCCACCAAGGCGACGAUGGGUAGACGGGAUGGGAGGCAGGACGGCCACAUUGGAACUGGGAAACGGUCCGAACUCUGCGGGAGGCAGCAGUGGGGGAUAUUGCACAAUGGAGGGAACGAUGAUGCAGCGACGCCGCGUGAACAAAGAAGGCUGUCGAGUCGUAAAGUUCUUUUAUAUGGGAAGCGGUACCAGAAGAAAAAGCCCCGGCUAACUACGUGCCAGCAGCCGCGGUAAUAC
rnacentral:rRNA from 1 species